AGCGAACGCUGGCGGCAGGCCUAACACAUGCAAGUCGAACGAACCCUUCGGGGUUAGUGGCGGACGGGUGAGUAACACGUGGGAACGUGCCUUUAGGUUCGGAAUAGCUCCUGGAAACGGGUGGUAAUGCCGAAUGUGCCCUUCGGGGGAAAGAUUUAUCGCCUUUAGAGCGGCCCGCGUCUGAUUAGCUAGUUGGUGAGGUAACGGCUCACCAAGGCGACGAUCAGUAGCUGGUCUGAGAGGAUGACCAGCCACACUGGGACUGAGACACGGCCCAGACUCCUACGGGAGGCAGCAGUGGGGAAUCUUGCGCAAUGGGCGAAAGCCUGACGCAGCCAUGCCGCGUGAAUGAUGAAGGUCUUAGGAUUGUAAAAUUCUUUCACCGGGGACGAUAAUGACGGUACCCGGAGAAGAAGCCCCGGCUAACUUCGUG
rnacentral:rRNA from 1 species